rnacentral:rRNA from 1 species
UUUCGAAUCGUUCACAAUGGGGGCAACCCUGAUGGCGCGACGCCGCGUGGGGGAUGAAGGUCUUCGGAUUGUAAACUCCUGUCAUUGGGGACUAAUGGCCAGGCUCAUACCCUGGUUUGAAUUAACCCAAAGAGGAAGCAGUGGCUAACUCUGUGCCAGCAGCCGCGGUAAUACAGAGACUGCAAGCGUUACUCGGAUUCACUGGGCGUAAAGGGAGCGCAGGCGGGAUAGUGUGUCAGGCGUGAAAUCUCGGGGCUCAACCCCGAGGCUGCGCCCGAAACUACUAUUCUAGAAACUUGGAGAGGUAAGCGGAAUUCUUGGUGGAGCAGUGAAAUGCGUAGAUAUCAAGAGGAACACCAACGGCGAAGGCAGCUUACUGGACAAGAUUUGACGCUCAGGCUCGAAAGCGUGGGGAGCAAAAAGG